UGUGCUUGCUUGACCCGUCUGAUGUGCUGCCGUGGGCACUUGGCUGAGGGUGGCAGGGCACUCAGCUAACCCAAAGUGACACAUGCCUGGCGGGACGUUCAGUCUCUGUAAA
ensembl:misc_RNA